GGAUGAUUUCAUGUGUCUUUGUCUUGCUGGCUCCUGCUAACUCCCUGGCUCUCUCCCCGCUCUCUGGCCUCGGCCUUCCAAACGCCCAGCUCACUGAGGAGCUCCAGGCCCGUGUGAAGAGCCUCUCUCCAGGGGAGACCCUGUCCAUUCAGGGCCUCAUGAACACCUUCACUGGGGUUUUAGGAUAAUGACCAGAUGACCAAAGCCAGAUGCAUCUUCACAUUGAAGAGUUGUGGACAGAUGACAGCCCCCAACUCUCCUCUUCUUCCCGUUCACUGCCUGGACUUUCCACCCAUGUCUGAGCACCCUGUCCUCUUCCUUGACCUGUUGCAGCAGCUUGUUUCAAUAAACUCAAGGAAACGCA